rnacentral:rRNA from 1 species
AUGUUUCCCGAGAGAGACUGCCUUCUCUCAGGCCAGCAGUCUUAUACUUAUAGUCGACUGCUCUAUGAUGAUCUGACCUCUUUCCUGGGCUCUGCUUGCUCGUCUAUGCUUCGACCAAUUCAGUCAAAAUCGAAAAAACGAUGUUUCCUUGAAAAAGUCUAA